rnacentral:tRNA from 1 species
GAGCGGAUAGCUCAAUCGGUAGAGCAGCGGCCUUUUAAGCCGUUGGUUCUGGGUUCGAGUCCCAGUCCGCUCA